CCUACGGGCGGCAGCAGUAGGGAAUAUUGCUCAAUGGGCGAAAGCCUGAAGCAGCAACGCCGCGUGAAGGAUGAAGGUCUUCGGAUUGUAAAACUCUUUUUUUAGAGAAGAAAAUACCGGUAUGUAACGAUUCACGUCUGGCCAACACCGAACCAGCAGGCGCGGUAAUACGGAGGGUGCGCGCGUUAUCCGGAAUUAUUGGGCGUAAAGGGCGCGUAGGCGGGUUAGUAAGUCAGAUGUGAAAGCGUUCGGCUCAACCAUAGAAGUGCAUGUGAAACUGGAAUUCUUGAGUACAGAUGAGGUAGGUGGAAUUCUUGGUGUAGCGGUGAAAUGCGUAGAGAUAAAGAGGAACACCAAUUGCGAAGGCGACUUGCUAGACUGUAACUGACGCUGAUGCGCGAAAGCGUGGGGAUCAAACAGGAUUAGAUACCCCUGUAGUC
rnacentral:rRNA from 1 species